rnacentral:lncRNA from 1 species
CUCAUUCCAUUUGACAAUCCCAUCUUCCUUUAUAAAAUUCUUCUUGUCAUUCCUCUUUGUGAGGGCUCAAAGUCAAACAACUACCCUUUGAGCCCUACCACUCGAUUUCGACUAUCGAUCUUUCAAAAUCUUAGACACCCACAUGCUUCUCUGACAAAAAGCUGAAACCUUUGAGACAAUUAACAAUGAUUUUAGCCUCAAAUUUCUUGGAUGAUAGUGAUGGCUUUUACCUUGGAUGUGGACAAAGCUCAUUAAAAGUUUAAAACUAUGUCAAAGAAACUGUCCAAUCUCCUCUCUACUCGAUAGAAGCCCCUUGGCUGC